CGUGCGCCCGGGGUGCUGCCCUCGCUCUGCGGCCCGGGCGGGCCCGCCCCGGCUGCCGAGGGCCGAGGGCCCUGCACUCGCACACGGGCAUCGCCUCUGCUUUUCGCUUCACCCUUGCCGGUUUUAAGCUCCAUUUUACAGCAUCCAGCUUAGCCACUGCCACGCUUUGCGCCUGGACCCGAUGUUCUCUGCUGGAAUUCAUGUGGGGCACGAAGUAGCGGCCUCACUGAGCUGGAGCUCUCAGUCCUGCCCUUGCUACCCCCUUCGUGAACAAAUAGGUUUCCCCACUACGACCAGGAUUAUUUCACACGUCAGCGUGAGGCCCGUGUUUGAGUUAGCACGGUCACUGAAGUGCUGCUGCUCCCAGUGAGAAGUCAGGCACACCAUGAAGGGAACACAGAGGAGGAGCCUGUAUUAUUGCUGCUUCAUCUUUUGGUAAAAUGGAACACUUCACUGCCAGUGCUGCCCUGAGGCACCUGGCACAUUAAAAUAAAACUACCCCAACAUCACCCACCCCUGCAAAACUAUCUUCAAGAAACAUUUGCUGCACAUUCAGCCUCUGUCCAUAACUCCUGUCUGAUCACAGACACUGGACACUCCUACUGUGUAUCAGUGGACUUUGGACUAAAGAGAUGAAAUCUAGGAUCUCAGCAUGUCCUGAAAUCCCUUAUUUCCCUCCAUGCAUCCCACUCCUUAUGUAUGCCACAGAAUGUAUCAGUGUUUAGCUCCUCAGUCCCAAGACAGCGAGGACUGGGAACAAGGAAGAAAUAACCAGCUCAGCCAUCCAGGGAGUAAACUCACCACUUUCUGUACAGCACCUCUCAGACAGUUUUUCAAAACUGCAAAGUGUGUCACACAGAGCAGUCAGCAUCUCCCAGCAAGGCAGUCUGGAAAACAGUCAAAACUGACACCACCACAGAAGGACAUGUCACUCCCAGCAGUUUCCACUGACUAUUUUGUAUAGAAAGGAUAUUUUUUUGCGUAUUGCAUAUAUCGUAAGCAUUAAGAAUAUCCACUGGAAGUCUGGUACAAUAACAUCUAAGAGUUUUGCAGAAGUGUUUGAGUACUCCUGAGUAAAUAACUCCUGUUCUCUUAGAGGCAAUUUACUUUUAAUUAUAUCUAAUAUACUCAAUAGUUAAAAGAAAUAGGCUCAGGAAAAGCACUUAAAAAUAUCUAAAACCUAUUUAUAAAUGUCUACUCAAGGUCUUGCAUAAUUUGCUUUUAUUUUACAUAUGAACAAUGUCUUAACUUCCCCCUUUUUUUUCUCAUAGUCUCAUCCCAUUCACUACACAUUUAUGUAAGCUGCAAAGUAAGAUUCGUGGCCAAUCAUUUCAAGAAUUCAUUUAUCUUGUAAAAAUCUGUUUAACUAAUACUGCAGUUUCUGAUGAGAAAAAAAAAAAGAGUAUUUUGGAGAAGUAUUCAUCACCAAAGGUUUUAGCUCCAAAACAUACAAAAAACUGCUCUCAACAUUAGGAUUAACAGAAGAAAGUUUUGUCUAAUCAGAGAGAAUUUCCUUCCUGUUAUGAUGGAGCAAGUGGCAAGGUUUUUCUGCCCUAAUACAUCACUUAAUCAUAGUCUCAGGUUUUGAAUCUCCACAAAUGGUAUGGGCAAAUCCAAAUUGUUGCCCACUUUGGUCCUGUGAUGCAGUCUCCUGAAAAUUUACUGCAUCUACUCAUAUUUAGUCAGUAAACUGUUUGCUUUGUUGAGGAGGGGGAAGGAGGUGGGAUGUUGGGAGAAGGUGACAAGGAGAAGCGGGCAAAGUCAGAAGGAAGCAAGGGAAUAAAGACAGAAAGAUUUGACCAAGUGAUUUGGACUGAACUCAUUAGGGUGAGAAAAUUCAGCUAAAGGCCUAUACUGCAGGAAUAGAAAAACAUAGUUAAUAAGUAACAAGAGCUGAUCCUUCACCUCCCUUCUCAUGAGAAGUUCUAAGGACUUAUACAAAGCAAAACAAAGCAAAAUCUUUGUUUCAUAAGCACAUUAAUUAGCCCCCAUGAAAUAGCAGAUCUGAGAUACAUGGAAGUGAAAUACUUCAAUGAUUCCCCCAAAUACCUGUCUUGACAUUCAUAACAUUUAUGAAGAGUCCAAAAGCUGUUUAAAGCAGGAAACUGAAGGCACAUCCACAAGCACUAACUGUUUAUAUAGCCUCCCCUAUUUUAGCAUACAUUAUUUAUGUGACCAUGAAUAUGUUUUCAAGGGUAGCCCUAAUGAGGCACAAAUUUACUGAGUACAGGAAUACCAACUUAAUGUAGCACAUCCACUUACUGACAGAAAGCAGCAAGUCAAGGGACCAUGUAGUCAUCCCUCCAAAAUUACAAAUAACUGUGAUCCUAAGCAUAAGGACUUACACUGGCAAAACUUCAGCUGAUAAUUUGCCAGCAGUGAGUGUUGAACACACUCCAUAAUAAAUGGCAACUCUGAUAGUGCUAGUGACAAUCACUCAGAUCUCGUAGACUGCUCACCUCCUUUAUGUUCACCAGUAUUAUAGGAGAUGUCAAAACCAAUAUUCUUUACAGCUGUUAGCAUUUUGCAGCCCAAAUCACAUAGAGUAAUGCUUAGAGAGUUUUCAAGGAGCUCCCAACAUUCAAUUUUCUCCAUCAGAUUGCCCUAAACAAAUCUAAUUUCGUAUCACAUCUCCUUGUGGAAAUACUUCACUGUCAUUUCAUCUCACUCAUGUACUUAACUGAGCAGCUGAAGACGUCAUCCUCUUGUGACAUACAGAAGCCCUUACUGUUGUAUGUCCUUCUAAUAAAGUAGUCAAUCAUAAUAAUACCCAAUCAGCUGGCUUAAUGAAGUAAGAAUUAGGUUAUUAAAGAUGAAAAGAGGUAUUUUCAGAUGACUGCUUGCAUCAUUUUUUAAUUUUUCUAUCAGAGUGAAUAAUUUCUUUCAAUAACUAUCAGGGGAGAUUAGCAUCCUUGGGAAAAAUUAGCUAUUGUUCCCACCAGACUGUCAUGUAAGUAAUGUCUGAUUAUAUAAAAUGCAUAACUACCUUCUUUCAACAGCUGGGUUUUCUUAAUCAUCCCUCAUAUAAAUAUAAUUCCUUGAUAUAUAUUUUAAAUAUAGUUCUAUGGUUUUAUCCUCACUUGCCUAAACUUUCAGUACCUUUUCUAUCCUCAACAUAGAGAAUGUACCAUAUACUGCACAUCACAGGGGUGGAUUAUCCCCAGCCUGCUGUAGACAAGCUCUCUUUCCAGUCACAGUUCAGCCUCUCUUUAUCCAGUUUCUACACAUCAUGGUCUUUUUUCUUGACCAAGGGGACACUCCCCAUACAAGUUUUUUUGAUGGAUGUAAAACUCAUAUACCAUUGUUUGAUUGUUGUUUUGUUGUUUUUUGGGGGGUUUUUUUGGUUUUUUGGUUGGGUUUUUUUUGUGUGUGUCUGUGUUUGGUGGGUUUUGGGUUUUGUUUGUUUUAUUAGAGAACUCUAAAUUUACCAGAAGUGUCAGUUCUGAAGAGCACUGAAAAAAAAAAAAAAGAAUAAAUAAAAUUCAGGAAUGAA